AACUAGCAACCCAGCAGUCUAGCUCAUUAUUCAGCCUCUUCUACCUCUGCUCUACCUCAAGUUCUCUUCUACCUUCUCUAUACUCUACUCUAUACUCUACUGAGGAACCCAGCAGCCUCUAUGUCCAUCAGACCUAACCCAGUACUGCUCCAAGCUAUAAGACAAGAGCAUCAGAAUAUCAAGAGACAUCAAGUAUCAAGAAACGCCAAGUAUCAAGAAGGAGACUCCAGGCCAAACGUUAGUCCUAAAUAGUGUGAUUAUGUUUUUGCUCGUUCGAGACAAUUAAAAAAGAAGGAGAUAAAACAUAUCAUGCUGUACAUACAAUUAAGGUGUGCAAUAAUUCAUUUGCUGGUUUUGCCUGCUAUCUAAAAAAAUUAGGCAGGGAGAGCCCGUGUUUAAAUAGUGUGCAAUAUUUCAUUUGCUGGUUUAGCCAGCUUCUGACGGGGAGCCUUGCACGCCCUAAUCUAAAAAAAAUAGGCAAAAAGGGAGAGAAACUAGUGUGCAAUAUUUCAUUUGCUGGCUAGCCAGCUUCUGACGGGGAGCCUUGCACGCCCUAAUCUAAAAAAAAUUAGGCAAAAAGGGAGAGCAAAUAGUGUGCAAUAUUUCAUUUGCUGGUUUAGCCAGCUUCUGACGGGGAGCCUUGCACGCCCUAAAAUUUGGCAAACAGGGAGAGAAACUAGUGUGCAAUAUUUCAUUUGCUGGCUAGCCAGCUUCUGACGGGGAGCCUUGCACGCCCUAAUCUAAAAAAAAUUAGGCAAAAAGGGAGAGCAAAUAGUGUGCAAUAUUUCAUUUGCUGGUUUAGCCAGCUUCUGACGGGGAGCCUUGCACGCCCUAAAAUUAGGCAAACAGGGAGAGAAACUAGUGUGCAAUAUUUCAUUUGCUGGCUAGCCAGCUUCUGACGGGGAGCCUUGCACGCCCUAAUCUAAAAAAAUUAGGCAAAAAGGGAGAGCAAAUAGUGUGCAAUAUUUCAUUUGCUGGUUUAGCCAGCUUCUGACGGGGAGCCUUGCACGCCCUAAUCUAAAAAAAAUUAGGCAAAAAGGGAGAGCAAAUAGUGUGCAAUAUUUCAUUUGCUGGUUUAGCCAGCUUCUGACGGGGAGCCUUGCACGCCCUAAAAUUUGGCAAACAGGGAGAGAAACUAGUGUGCAAUAUUUCAUUUGCUGGCUAGCCAGCUUCUGACGGGGAGCCUUGCACGCCCUAAUCUAAAAAAAAUUAGGCAAAAAGGGAGAGCAAAUAGUGUGCAAUAUUUCAUUUGCUGGCUAGCCAGCUUCUGACGGGGAGCCUUGCACGCCCUAAUCUAAAAAAAAUUAGGCAAAAAGGGAGAGCAAAUAGUGUGCAAUAUUUCAUUUGCUGGUUUAGCCAGCUUCUGACGGGGAGCCUUGCACGCCCUAAAAUUAGGCAAACAGGGAGAGAAACUAGUGUGCAAUAUUUCAUUUGCUGGCUAGCCAGCUUCUGACGGGGAGCCUUGCACGCCCUAAUCUAAAAAAAUUAGGCAAAAAGGGAGAGCAAAUAGUGUGCAAUAUUUCAUUUGCUGGUUUAGCCAGCUUCUGACGGGGAGCCUUGCACGCCCUAAAAUUAGGCAAACAGGGAGAGAAAAUAGUAUGCAAUAUUUCAUUUGCUGGGUUAGCCAGCUUCUGAUGGGAAUCCUUACACGCCCUAAAUAAAAAAAUUAGUGGUUUUGCUUAGUGCAUUGUAUGUUUUAGUGAAAAAAAAGAUAUUGCUUAAUUUUGCUUAAUUAGUGCAGUAAAACAUGAAAAGAAAAGAAAAAG